rnacentral:rRNA from 1 species
GAUGAACGCUGGCGGCAUGCCCAAUACAUGCAAGUCGAACGAGAGGAAGGAAAGCUUGCUUUCCUGAAUCUAGUGGCGAACGGGUGAGUAACACGUAGGUAACCUGCCCAUGUGCCCGGGAUAACUUCUGGAAACGGAUGCUAAAACCGGAUAGGUAGCAGACAAGCAUUUGACUGCUAUUAAAGUGGCCUUGGCCAUGAACAUGGAUGGACCUGCGGUGCAUUAGCUGGUUGGUGAGGUAACGGCCCACAAAGGCGACGAUGCAGGGCCGGCCUGAGAGGGCGGACGGCCACAUUGGGACUGAGACACGGCCCAAACUCUUACGGGAGGCAGCAGUAGGGAAUUUUCGUCAAUGGGGAGAACCCUGAACGAGCAAUGCCGCGUGAGUGAGGAAGGUCUUCGGAUCGUAAAGCUCUGUUGUAAGAGAAAAACGGCACUCAUAGGGAAUGAUGAGUGAGUGAUGGUAUCUUACCAGAAAGUCACGGCUAACAACGUGCCAGCCGCCGCCGUAAAAC